GGCGAGGUGUCCGAGCGGUCCAAGGAGUGCGGUUAAGGUCAGUCUUUGGCUUCAACUUCCGCAUCUGUGUUACAGGCGUGGGUUCGAAUCCCACCCCCGUCA